AGUGAACGCUGGCGGUAGGCCUAACACAUGCAAGUCGAACGGCAGCACAGUAAGAACUUGCUCUUACGGGUGGCGAGUGGCGGACGGGUGAGGAAUACAUCGGAAUCUACUUUUUCGUGGGGGAUAACGUAGGGAAACUUACGCUAAUACCGCAUACGACCUACGGGUGAAAGCAGGGGAUCUUCGGACCUUGCGCGAUUGAAUGAGCCGAUGUCGGAUUAGCUAGUUGGCGGGGUAAAGGCCCACCAAGGCGACGAUCCGUAGCUGGUCUGAGAGGAUGAUCAGCCACACUGGAACUGAGACACGGUCCAGACUCCUACGGGAAGCAGCAGUGGGGAAUAUUGGACAAUGGGCGCAAGCCUGAUCCAGCCAUACCGCGUGGGUGAAGAAGGCCUUCGGGUUGUAAAGCCCUUUUGUUGGGAAAGAAAAGCAGCAGGUUAAUACCCCGCUGUUCUGACGGUACCCAAAGAAUAAGCACCGGCUAACUUCGUG
rnacentral:rRNA from 1 species